UAGGGAAUCUUCCGCAAUGGGCGAAAGCCUGACGGAGCAACGCCGCGUGAGUGAUGAAGGUCUUCGGAUCGUAAAACUCUGUUAUUAGGGAAGAACAAAUGUGUAAGUAACUAUGCACGUCUUGACGGUACCUAAUCAGAAAGCCACGGCUAACUACGUGCCAGCAGCCGCGGUAAUACGUAGGUGGCAAGCGUUAUCCGGAAUUAUUGGGCGUAAAGCGCGCGUAGGCGGUUUUUUAAGUCUGAUGUGAAAGCCCACGGCUCAACCGUGGAGGGUCAUUGGAAACUGGAAAACUUGAGUGCAGAAGAGGAAAGUGGAAUUCCAUGUGUAGCGGUGAAAUGCGCAGAGAUAUGGAGGAACACCAGUGGCGAAGGCGACUUUCUGGACUGUAACUGACGCUGAUGUGCGAAAGCGUGGGGAUCAAACAGG
rnacentral:rRNA from 1 species